GAUGAACGCUGGCGGCGUGCCUAAUACAUGCAAGUCGAGCGAAUGGAUUAAGAGCUUGCUCUUAUGAAGUUAGCGGCGGACGGGUGAGUAACACGUGGGUAACCUGCCCAUAAGACUGGGAUAACUCCGGGAAACCGGGGCUAAUACCGGAUAAUAUUUUGAACUGCAUGGUUCAAAAUUGAAAGGCGGCUUCGGCUGUCACUUAUGGAUGGACCCGCGUCGCAUUAGCUAGUUGGUGAGGUAACGGCUCACCAAGGCAACGAUGCGUAGCCGACCUGAGAGGGUGAUCGGCCACACUGGGACUGAGACACGGCCCAGACACCUACGGGAGGCAGCAGUAGGGCAUCUUCCGAAAUGGGCGAAAGUCUGACGGAGCAACGCCGCGUGAGUGAUGUAGGCUUUCGGGUCGUAAAACUCUGUUGUUAGGGAAGAACAAGUGCUAGUUGAAUAAGCUGGCACCUUGACGGUACCUAACCAGAAAGCCACGGCUAACUACGUGCCAGCCGCCGCAGUAA
rnacentral:rRNA from 1 species